rnacentral:tRNA from 1 species
UAGAAUAAAGCUGAUUCAGCAAUUUACUUACACUAAAAAGAUUCUAUUAAGAUGUUCUAU